ensembl:lincRNA
CUCCAUGACCUUUCCUUUUCAGGUGGCUGUAUGCAUGCUGUGGAAAGCAGGAGCACUCUGCAUGAGUAACAGUUCCUGUGCAGAUUCCUGGACAGAGCCUGGGAUGAGAGUGAACUCACUUCACUCCAGUAUGCACCUCCAAGUUGCACUGCAAGAAGGACGAUGCCAGGGGGUUCUCACCAUGCAUCGAACAAGUACAAAAUGUUUCACAGCAUGACUGCCAUAUGAGAGCAGGACUCUUAGUUACAAACAGUACCUCACCUGUGGAGUGCUUGAAGUCCAGGGGCCUGGCCGGCUCACACUGUCUAGGAGCUCCUCAAGGUCGCUGUAUGCAUGCUGUGGAUAGCAGGAGCGCUCUGCAGGAGGAACGGAUCCUGAAGAGUCUCCUGGAUGGAGCCUGGGAAGAGAGUGAACUCACUUCAUGCCAGUCUGCACCUCCAUGUUGCACGGCAAGGAGGACGAAGCCAAGGGGUUCUCACCAUGCAUCGAACAGGGGGGAAAGUUAACACUGCACGAUCACGAUAUGAGUGCACUUCU